AUCUUCCAGUUCUUCUUGUGAGGUCUAUCUUCUCUGGUUGAGGUUUUUAUGGUACAGCUGCUGUGGUUCCUGGUCUGGGGGUGCUGUGAUGCAAUUCCCACUGCCCUAAGGCUCUCUGCCCAUCCCUGUAGCAUCAGGCCCUUUGCCUCAGGGCUUUUUGGGUGUUGGAGGACCAGGUACUACUAAGCAUUUCAUUCACAGUGGUCGACCAGAGCGUGUUGGGUGCAGACUCUGCAGCAGUGGAGCCUCUGCCUCUCUUAACUGCUGCCUCCUGUGCUCUGUUUUUUGCAGGAUGUUGGUGCUGCUAUGUGCUCUUGCAAAGCCCAGAUCUUCAUGAAAUCCAGAGGCAUAGGAGAACGUGAAUCCCAGGAAUUGCUGGGGGCAUAAGGAGAGCAGUGUGGAGAAGGAAGAACCUGUUUUGGUGGGCACCAAUUGCAUUGAUAAACUCAUGACUCUCCCAAGGGAUAAGGGAGGUAAGUGCUCACUGGCUUCUGGAAACUAAAGGCAACAAUGAUUCCCCGCUGAGACCACUCUGGCAGAGCCUUUCCUUCUGUCCUUUGAAGCUGACACCUUGACCAACGUUGCCAGGGCGGGGCCAACGUGGGAAUGUAGGGGGAAUUUGGUAUCCAUGGGUCCCACCAACCUCAUAGAAUCAUUAAGGUUGGAAAAGACCUCUAAGCUCAUCCAGUCCAACCAUCAACACAAUGCCAUUGUGCUUAUUAAACCAUGUCCCGAAGUACCACAUCUCCAUGUGUUUUGAACCCCUCUAGGGAUGGAGACUCCACCACUGCCCUGGGCAGCCUCUGCCAGGGCUUCACCACUCUUUCGGUAGAGAAAAGUUUCCAAUCUGAACCUUCCCUGGUGCAACUUGAGGCCAUUUCCUUGUUCUGUCCCUUCUUACUUGGGAGAAGGGCUGUGCAGCGGAAGAGGGAGUCUGGUUCCUCCAUGGCCACAGGUUCUCCAUCCAAAGGCAGUGCCCCAUGGUGGAGCACGGCCCGGGCUGGCUUCGGUGGGGAUAAUGCGCAUCUGCUCCGAGGAGGCUGCCAGGUUAUGGGUCCCUGAAGAUUUGGCUGGAAGGAGCCCCUGCGUAGGCAGAGACGGCGUCGGAAAUGCGUGGCCCAAACCCAGCAUUGCAGCCGAUUGCUGAUGGGCCCCAUCGCUUUGUGUGGCCAUUGAACUCCUCCAGAGAUGCUCAAGGAGGCAAAUCCAGCAGAGCCAGGGCUCCUCGGAGAGGUGAAGUGAGUCACACCAAAUAUUUGUUGUGUAGCAUUCUCUUAGGGAGUGACUGCUGUUUUCCUGCUCAAAUCCUGGUGUUAUAUUGAAGACACUUAAAUAAGAAUAUGGUGCUUUUCUUUGCCAAGGAGUCGUUUACGUGACCUAGCGGGAUGUCCCUGCCCGUGGCAGGGGGUUGGAACUAGAUGAUCUUUAAGGUCCCUUCCAACCUUAACUAGUCUAUGAUUCUAAGGUAAGUUUCUUGCACUCCCUCGCUGGUCUGGAGGGCUGUUCUGCAGAGAGCUGGACUGGAAGGAUGAUGUGUGGUCCUUGCACAGGAGCUGAAAGCCCCACUGCUGGGCCAGAGAAGCACCUGUGGUUCCUGCCACAAGCACGUCCACUGUGUGAAGGAGCAAAGCCCAAAGCACGCCAGGCUGUUCCCUGGCAGAAUUAGAGCUGCAGCUCUUUCCAAGCCUGCAUAGAAUCAUAGAAUCACCAGGUUGGAAGGGACCCACUGGAUCAUCGAGUCCAACUAUUCCUAAUGCUCCCUAAACCAUACCCCUCAGCACCUCGUCCACCCAUCCCUUAAACACCUCCAGGGAAGGGGACUCAACCCCCUCCCUGGGCAGCCUCUGCCAGUGCCCAAUGACUCUUUCCGUGAAAAAUGUUUUCCUGAUGUCAAGCCUGAACCUCCCCUGACGGAGCUUCAGGCCAUUCCCCCUUGUCCUGUCCUCUGUCACUUGGGAGAAGAGGCCAGCUCCCUCCUCUCCACAACCUCCUUUCAGGCAGUUGUAGAGAGCAAUAAGGUCUCCCCUCAUCCUCCUCUUCUCCAGGAUAAACUUGUGUGUGGCAUAGGAAACGACAUCAUGCCUGGACCUCAGCGCCUGAGCGAUCCGAGACGUCCUUGGGGACGGAGACGCUCAUUAGCCCUGUAUAAACACUUGUCACGUUGGACUGGGCUGUGUGAGACAAGUUCAUUUGUGAUGGGGAUGGAGUCUGGGAAUGGAGACGUUGACUGACAGGUCAGGUUAAAGUCCCUGAUGAUGGGCUGAGGGCUUGGAGCUGCCUCCCACCGAGCUCCGCAGGGCAGCAGCCCCUGGCCCAGCCUUCCCUUCCCAGGCUCUACAUCAGCUCUGCACUUGCUGCGAUGGCCCCCGUGACCUCCUGCACCAGCAAAAUAUGUUUUGAGGAUGAGUCUGGCUGUUGUGGUAUUUGUUUGUUUCCCAGGGCCUGGCUGGAGAGGAAGGCAGCGUCUGAUGGCCUGGGCAGCUGCUCAAAGGUUGCAGAGGCUGAAGAAGAGGGAUUGCGAUGCUGUCCGACCUCCCAACAGGCAGGAGCAUCCUCCAGAGCUGGAAGGAGCGAUGUCAGACAGCGUUGGAUCUUGCCUCGUGACUUUGUUGUCGAAGGAGCUUGUGGAUGCUAAAAAUUUAUAUGGGUUUAAGAGGAGCCUGGGCAGUUGCACGCAGGAGAAAUUGCUGAGAGGUUACUAAGUACAUCUGGCUCAAGAGUUCCUCUGAGCUGGAAACAGCUGGAGACUGGGAGAGGACUUGGAGUAAUAUCGUAUACACUUGUCUUGCUCUUAAUUUCUUUGGGCAUCCUCUUAGGGUCACUGUUAAAGAGAAGCUAUGAGGGAGGCUGCGCCCUGGGCCCCUUGCGUGAGGGCCUUGUCCCUCGCUCUUGUUUACAGGGUUAUUUUCUGGUGCUUUGGCCCCAGGAGCCUGUCCAGGGAGCUGCUUUGGACUCUGCCGCUGCCCGAGCUGUGAACCAGUGAGGCUGUUCAAACCCGCUUUAUAGGUGAACUGGAAGCCUAAGCUGUUUCCACCUCAGGACUGAAUGAGAAGAGAAGAAAGACCUGAUCCUGCUCAGGUGCAAGGAGGAAAAAUGAAGGUGGAUAGCAGAGACUGACCCUUCCUCCAUCCCACCGGCUUUCUCUUAACUCAGCCUCUUGUUCUCAUUAAUUUCUCUCUGAAUCUUCCCUUGAGCUCAUUCUGACUCUGACCUUCCUUCUCCCUGCAGUGCCCUUCCUCUUCUGCUUCUGUCCUUCCUUUGGAACCCCCCUCCCAGCUUCACUCUGCCCCAUUCUCACCCUCGCUAUAAAACAGCUCCUAAGCCAGCAAAGCCUACAAAAUGCAGUCUCUAAAGUUUCCCUGCUCCCGCAGUUGUCGAGGAGGGGAAAUUCAAGCAAACGCGCCAUGAAAACCAACAGCGGUUGAGAACGCAGCUUUCUGCAGCCAUGGACGGGCUAAAACCUACAAGGACACAUCCAGCAAGAGAAACACCAGACGCUCUGAUGCUGUGCACAAAGGCAAGCGAGGAACAAGGUGGGAGCACAAUUAACUUGGCAUCUUGUCCUGGACCACAGCCUGGAGGAAGGACCUGCAGGUUCUUCUGCCAGCCUGGGUGGUUUUCUCACCGUGACACUGAAUCCCGAUAGAUUUCCCUGCUGAGAGGCAGAAAAAUCUUAAAUGAAACCCUGGCAGAGCUCACUGCAAAGGGUGCCGUACCUCUGCUCCUGGGGGGCUGCCACAUGGAUGUUGCUUUGGGGCUGUUUACCAUGAGGAGGCAUUUUACCAUGGAUAAUGUCCAUUUCCGAAGCGUUUCUGUGCAUCCUGGAUG